rnacentral:sRNA from 1 species
CUCUUGAUUUUAUAUUGCUGUGACGAAACGAAUAAUUAAAAAAGAUAAAUUGAAUUUAAAUAAACAAAUUAAGUGCAUUUACUAAAACGUCUCAGAGGAGUCUCAGUUUACCAAAGAGAAGUCUCAAACAUAGUGUGUAUUGGUGUGCGAUGUAUUGUACAAGAGGCUGCGUGCCUUGUGUUUGUAUAUUUUUCAAUAGUUAUUGAGCAUGCAAUGAAAUUCAGGGCAAGAACAAGUGGAAAAAUGGUAAGUUCCAAGUCCGGGGUGUAGGGAGAUUAGCAGUAUGUGUUUCUUCCUGUGAGCCUGUGAGGGUCACCACGGUUUUCAAAUACGGUAUGAGCGAAGCUUUUAUAUUAUAUCUAAGCACAUAAAAGCACUAAACACAUGUGAGUUCUUUCAGAGCAGAGAUUUUCGUUUGGUUUCGCGUCGAGUCGACGGGCAUUUCCACAGGCAGCGUCAUCCGGAGAGCGUCAGAGAAAUUAGCGAUAGUGCAUGCGGCCGGUGAAGAUAACCUAUCUUUCGUUACUACCGAUGUUGUUUUUAGUUAAAUUAUAUUAAUAAAAUUAAGAUUUACAUUGUU